AUUGAACGCUGGCGGCAUGCUUUACACAUGCAAGUCGAACGGCAGCGCGGGCUUCGGCCUGGCGGCGAGUGGCGAACGGGUGAGUAAUGCAUCGGAACGUGCCCGGUAGUGGGGGAUAACCCGGCGAAAGCCGGAUUAAUACCGCAUACGACCUGAGGGUGAAAGCGGGGGACCGAAAGGCCUCGCGCUAUUGGAGCGGCCGAGGUCGGAUUAGCUAGUUGGUGGGGUAAAGGCUUACCAAGGCGACGAUCCGUAGCUGGUCUGAGAGGACGACCAGCCACACUGGGACUGAGACACGGCCCAGACUCCUACGGGAGGCAGCAGUGGGGAAUUUUGGACAAUGGGGGCAACCCUGAUCCAGCCAUGCCGCGUGCGGGAAGAAGGCCUUCGGGUUGUAAAGCGCUUUUGUUCGGGAAGAAAUCCUCUGGGCUAAUACCCCGGGGGGAUGACGGUACCGGAAGAAUAAGCACCGGCUAACUACGUG
rnacentral:rRNA from 1 species